UACGAAGGGGGCAAGCGUUGUUCGGAAUUACUGGGCGUAAAGCGUACGUAGGCGGAUUGUUAAGUCAGGGGUGAAAUCCCGGGGCUCAACCCCGGAACUGCCUUUGAUACUGGCAAUCUUGAGUCCGAGAGAGGUGAGUGGAAUUCCUAGUGUAGAGGUGAAAUUCGUAGAUAUUAGGAAGGACACCAGUGGCGAAGGCGGCUCACUGGCUCGGAACUGACGCUGAGGUACGAAAGCGUGGGGAGCAAACAGG
rnacentral:rRNA from 1 species